UACAGAGGGGGCAAGCGUUGUUCGGAAUUACUGGGCGUAAAGGGCGCGUAGGCGGCCUUCUAAGUCGAACGUGAAAUCCCCGGGCUCAACCCGGGAACUGCGUCCGAUACUGGAAGGCUUGAAUCCGGGAGAGGGAUGCGGAAUUCCAGGUGUAGCGGUGAAAUGCGUAGAUAUAGGGAAGAACACCAAUCAAGCGAAGGCAGUUAACUAUUCUAUUCCUGACAUUGAGGCAUGAAAGCGUGGGGAGCAAAACGG
rnacentral:rRNA from 1 species